AUCUAUACUGUGAAACUGCGAAUGGCUCAUUAAAUCAGUUAUCGUUUAUUUGAUAGUACCUUUUCACUUGGAUAACCGUGGAAAAGCUAGAGCUAAUACAUGCUAAAAACCCCGACUUCGGAAGGGGUGUAUUUAUUAGAUAAAAAACCAAUGCCCCUCGGGGCUCACUGGUGAUUCAUAAUAACUUAACGAAUCGCAUGGCCUUGCGCCGGCGAUGGUUCAUUCAAAUUUCUGCCCUAUCAACUUUCGAUGGUAGGAUAGUGGCCUACCAUGGUAUCAACGGGUAACGGGGAAUUAGGGUUCUAUUCCGGAGAGGGAGCCUGAGAAACGGCUACCACAUCCAAGGAAGGCAGCAGGCGCGCAAAUUACCCAAUCCCGACACGGGGAGGUAGUGACAAUAAAUACUGAUACAGGGCUCUUUUGGGUCUUGUAAUUGGAAUGAGAACAAUUUAAAUACCUUAACGAGGAACAAUUGGAGGGCAAGUCUGGUGCCAGCAGCCGCGGUAAUUCCAGCUCCAAUAGCGUAUAUUAAAGUUGUUGCAGUUAAAAAGCUCGUAGUUGAACCUUGGGCCUGGCUGGCCGGUCCGCCUCACCGCGUGCACUGGUCCGGCCGGGCCUUUCCUUCUGGGGAACUGCAUGCCCUUCACUGGGUGUGUCAGGGAACCAGGACUUUUACUUUGAAAAAAUUAGAGUGUUCAAAGCAGGCCUUUGCUCGAAUACAUUAGCAUGGAAUAAUAGAAUAGGACGUGCGGCCCUAUUUUGUUGGUUUCUAGGACCGCCGUAAUGAUUAAUAGGGAUAGUCGGGGGCGUCAGUAUUCAAUUGUCAGAGGUGAAAUUCUUGGAUUUAUUGAAGACUAGCUACUGCGAAAGCAUUCGCCAAGGAUGUUUUCAUUAAUCAGUGAACGAAAGUUAGGGGAUCGAAGACGAUCAGAUACCGUCGUAGUCUUAACCGUAAACUAUGCCGACUAGGGAUCGGACGAUGUUAUUAUUUUGACUCGUUCGGCACCUUACGAGAAAUCAAAGUCU
rnacentral:rRNA from 1 species